rnacentral:rRNA from 1 species
UACGGGGGGGGCAAGCGUUGUUCGGAAUUACUGGGCGUAAAGGGCUCGUAGGCGGCCAACUAAGUCAGACGUGAAAUCCCUCGGCUUAACCGGGGAACUGCGUCUGAUACUGGAUGGCUUGAGUUUGGGAGAGGGAUGCGGAAUUCCAGGUGUAGCGGUGAAAUGCGCAGAUAUCAGGAGGAACACCGGUGGCGAAGGCGGGUCUCUGGGCCGAUGACUGACGCUGAGGAGCGAAAGCGUGGGGAGCGAACAGG